AAAAUUGUAAUUUCGUGGACAAAAAGAGAAGAAAGCAGAUGAACUAUCAGGAAACAAAGCUGCUGAAUUGUAAACGUAAAAGCCUAAAUAAAUGAAGCCACUUGCUUAUUUUACAAGUUUGAAGAGUUAUCGCAGAUUUCUUACACUCUACUAGCUUCCAAAUGAGACUUUACACUUGAUUGUGUGGUUUCUUCACUAAACAGAAUUUUAAAGAAGUAUGGCGCUCUUCAUCAAGAGCGUUGAAGAGGCAGGAAGAAAGCAAGUCACUUGCAACCCUUUAUGAUUUUUUCUAUGCCCUAGUGCCUUACUGAAAUUAAUGAAAUACUCUUCACUGAAGUCCAAAGAUGUCAUGCUGAACUUGAGGACUGAAAAGAACAAGUGUCAUAAGUAAAAAGUAGUCCAAGUCUGUAUGUAGAAAAGCUGGAAUUUGAAAGAUCACUCCUAAAAAUCAAAAUGCGAAGACACCUGAUUACAGAAGAAUUACACUUGGGCAUUCUGCUGCCUCUGGAGUUCCUGUGUAAUUUCUAUACUGUUCAUAACAGACUAGGCCACGGAGGAAGAAAAAGACUCGUAUGUUGACUGAAUUAU